rnacentral:other from 1 species
UAGAAGCUGCUUUGUACGCAAACAAUGGUUUCAACCUGUAUAUGUAACGAGGGAGUUUAAAUGAAUCGAACAGAUGUCAAGCCUUCAAUAAGUAGAGGAAGACAGAAAUCGUUUCGCAAACACCCACUUUAGAAGUGGUGGUUUGGAACUCAGUUAAGUAGCGACAAAUGCGGCCCCUAU